rnacentral:rRNA from 1 species
AACGAACGCUGGCGGCAUGCCUAACACAUGCAAGUCGAACGAGACCUUCGGGGCUAGUGGCGCACGGGUGCGUAACGCGUGGGAACCUGCCCUUAGGUUCGGAAUAACUCCCCGAAAGGGGUGCUAAUACCGGAUAAUGUCUUCGGACCAAAGAUUUAUCGCCUUUGGAUGGGCCCGCGUUGGAUUAGCUAGUUGGUAGGGUAAAUGCCUACCAAGGCGACGAUCCAUAGCUGGUCUGAGAGGAUGAUCAGCCACACUGGGACUGAGACACGGCCCAGACUCCUACGGGAGGCAGCAGUGGGGAAUAUUGGACAAUGGGCGAAAGCCUGAUGCAGCAAUGCCGCGUGAGUGAUGAAGGCCUUAGGGUUGUAAAGCUCUUUUACCCGGGAUGAUAAUGACAGUACCGGGAGAAUAAGCUCCGGCUAACUCCGUG